UACAGAGGGUGCAAGCGUUAAUCGGAAUUACUGGGCGUAAAGGGCUCGUAGGCGGCCAACUAAGUCAUACGUGAAAUCCCUCAGCUUAACUGGGGAACUGCGUGUGAUACUGGAUGGCUUGGAUUUGGGAGAGGGAUGCGGAAUUCCAGGUGUAGCGGUGAAAUGCGUAGAUAUCUGGAGGAACACCGGUGGCGAAGGCGGCAUCCUGGACCAAUAUUGACGCUGAGGAGCGAAAGCCAGGGGAGCAAACGGG
rnacentral:rRNA from 1 species